AAUUUCUGAAACAAGCCUUUAGACUGAUAUGAUGUAGGUGCUUUGAACUGUCUUCAAGCGUAUCAUCUGCGAGCAGCACCAAAUUAUAGGUUGAUUUUGUGCAAUUGUGGGGAAAGAUCAAAUGUAGGUACACCAUCUUCUUAACAUCCUUGGAAUAGCCCCCGUGCUCCACCGUACUUCUACCGUCGUCAUCUUCUUCUCCCUCCUUUGUUCGUCCUCCACUCCUUGACUAGAACGAACGCCGUGCUCCACUGGAUCCCAUCGGCAUCAUUGUCGUCAUCUUCAUCUCUUCCUCUCCGGCACCAUCAUCUCAACAUCGAUGUCAAGUCUUUGAGACAACUGCACGGCUCCGCGGCUUCUUCACCCGCGACAACGUGGAGGCGAGGUCGUCGUUCAUCCCGGCAUCCUAAGCUCCAUCAUUUGCUGGCCUCCCGUGUCCGACCAAUGAGGCGAGCCAAAACUUUCUUAUGAAAAAUACGAAUAUAGCUGAGAUUCCAUGGGUCUAUAAUCGAAAUGUCUGCUCAAAUAUCUUAGUUGCAAUAUUUGCAGCAUGAAAUCUAUAUAUAUACAUAUGUAAGCAUCAAAUGUUUGUUGAAAUGUUUCUUAGAAUUAUCUUUUUUGGUUGAUAUGUUUGUAAGACCAGCUUAUCUAAAUGAGUAUAAUGUAUUUGCUGAAA